AUUGAACGCUGGCGGCAUGCCUUACACAUGCAAGUCGAACGGCAGCACGGGUGCUUGCCCCUGGUGGCGAGUGGCGAACGGGUGAGUAAUACAUCGGAACAUGUCCUGUAGUGGGGGAUAGCCCGGCGAAAGCCGGAUUAAUACCGCAUACGAUCUACGGAUGAAAGCGGGGGACCUUCGGGCCUCGCGCUAUAGGGUUGGCCGAUGGCUGAUUAGCUAGUUGGUGGGGUAAAGGCCUACCAAGGCGACGAUCAGUAGCUGGUCUGAGAGGACGACCAGCCACACUGGGACUGAGACACGGCCCAGACUCCUACGGGAGGCAGCAGUGGGGAAUUUUGGACAAUGGGCGAAAGCCUGAUCCAGCAAUGCCGCGUGUGUGAAGAAGGCCUUCGGGCUGUAAAGCACUUUUGUCCGGAAAGAAAUCCUUGGCUCUAAUACAGUCGGGGGAUGACGGUACCGGAAGAAUAAGCACCGGCUAACUACGUG
rnacentral:rRNA from 1 species